rnacentral:rRNA from 1 species
AUUGAACGCUGGCGGGAGGCCUAACACAUGCAAGUCGAACGAGUGGCGGACGGGUGAGUAAUAUAUGGGAACGUGCCCAGUAGAGGGGGAUAACUACUGGAAACAGUGGCUAAUACCGCAUACUAUCGGAUCAGCCCAUAUGGGAUUAGCUAGUGGGUGGGGUAAAGGCUCACCUAGGCGACGAUCCCUAGCUGGUUUGAGAGGACGACCAGCCACACUGGGACUGAGACACGGCCCAGACUCCUACGGGAGGCAGCAGUGGGGAAUUUUGGCCAAUGGGGGCAACCCUGAUCCAGCCAUCCCGCGUGUAUGAAGAAGGCCUUAGGGUGGUAAAGUACUUUUGGCGGAGAAGCGGUAUCUGCAGAAGAAGCACCGGCUAACUCCGUGCCAGCAGCCGCGGUAAUUC